UACGUAGGGUGCGAGCGUUGUCCGGAAUUACUGGGCGUAAAGGGCGCGUAGGCGGCCUGAUAAGUAGGGGGUGAAAUCCUGCGGCUUAACCGCAGAGCUGCCUUCUAAACUGUCAGGCUCGAGCACAGUAGAGGCAGGUGGAAUUCCCGGUGUAGCGGUGGAAUGCGUUGAUAUCCUAAGGAACACCGGUGGCGAAAGCGGCUCACUGGAUCUCUUCUGACGCUGAGGCACGAAAGCUAGGGUAGCGAACGGG
rnacentral:rRNA from 1 species